rnacentral:rRNA from 1 species
GAUACCCGGGUAGUCCACGCUGUAAACGAUGGGUGCUAGGUUUGGGGAGGAAACUCUCUGAGCCGUAGCUAACGCGUUAAGCACCCCGCCUGGGGAGUAUGGCCGCAAGGCUGAAACUCAAAGGAAUUGACGGGGGCUCGCACAAGCGGUGGAGCACGUGGUUUAAUUCGAUGCAAAGCGAAGAACCUUACCUAGGUUUGACAUGCCAGGGAAGUACUCUGGUGGAGACACUG